CCUACGGGUGGCAGCAGUGGGGAAUAUUGCACAAUGGGCGCAAGCCUGAUCCAGCUAUUCCGCGUGUGGGAUGAAGGCCCUCGGGUUGUAAACCCCUGUUGUCGAGGACGAAAAGUCACCUUCGUAUAAAGCGUUUUGCUGACGGUACUCUCAGAAUCAGCACCGGCUAACUACGUGCCAGCAGCCGCGGUAAUACGGGGGGUGCGAGCGUUAAUCGGAAUUACUGGGCGUAAAGGGUGCGCAGGCGGUGGAGUAAGCCAGGGGUGAAAUCCCCGGGAUUAACUUGGGAAUGGCCUAUGUGACUGCGAGACUGGAGUGUGUCAGAGGGAGGUGGAAUUCCACGUGUAGCAGUGAAAUGCGUAGAUAUGUGGAAGAACACCGAUGGCGAAGGCAGCCUGCUGGGACAUAACUGACGCUGAGGCACGAAAGCGUGGGGAGCAAACAGGAUUAGAUACCCGUGUAGUC
rnacentral:rRNA from 1 species